GACGAACGCUGGCGGCGUGCCUAAUACAUGCAAGUAGAACGCUGAAGGAGGAGCUUGCUCUUCUGGAUGAGUUGCGAACGGGUGAGUAACGCGUAGGUAACCUGCCUGGUAGCGGGGGAUAACUAUUGGAAACGAUAGCUAAUACCGCAUAAGAGUAGAUGCUGCAUGACAUUUGCUUAAAAGGUGCAAUUGCAUCACUACCAGAUGGAUCUGCGUUGUAUUAGCUAGUUGGUGAGGUAACGGCUCACCAAGGCGACGAUACAUAGCCGACCUGAGAGGGUGAUCGGCCACACUGGGACUGAGACACGGCCCAGACUCCUACGGGAGGCAGCAGUAGGGAAUCUUCGGCAAUGGACGGAAGUCUGACCGAGCAACGCCGCGUGAGUGAAGAAGGUUUUCGGAUCGUAAAGUUCUGUUGUAAGAGAAGAACGACUGUGAGAGUGGAAAGUUCACCACU
rnacentral:rRNA from 1 species